AUUCCAGCUCCAAUAGCGUAUAUUAAAGUUGUUGCAGUUAAAAAGCUCGUAGUUGGAUUUCUGGUAGAAGUAGCGACCUUGGGUCUUUGACCUAUGAAGUUGCUAUCUUCAACCAUCCUUGAAGAGAUUUAGUUUGGCAUUAAGUUGUCGAACUAAAGAUAUUCAUCUUUUACUGUGAAAAAAUCAGAACGUUCAAAGUAAGCAUUUAGCUUUGAAUGUAUUAGCAUGGAAUAAUGAAAUAGGACUUAGGUACUACUUUGUUGGUUUAUGCACCUAGGUAAUGAUUAAUAGGGAUAGUUGGGGGUACUCGUAUUCCAAUGUUAGAGGUGAAAUUCUUGGAUUUUUGGAAGACGAACAACUGCGAAAGCAUUUACCAAGGAUGUUUUCAUUA
rnacentral:rRNA from 1 species